GACCAACAACAACGACAACAAGACCAACAACAAUGACAGCAAUAACAAUGGUAACAACAAGAAGACCAACAACAACAAUAUCUCCUCAGGAAAACCCCGCUGCUGAUCACCUGUGGCACAUGACUGUCCGCACACUGAUUGGACUGCUCUACUUAAUCAUCAUGAUCAGCAUCACUGCUGUUACCCGGAGGAAAGCUCGACAGAUGCAGAAACAGAAGCGAGACGCAGCUGUUAGGUUUGUAUUGUUGAUUGUUAUUUAUGCUUAGAAAUAUUUACUUAUAUAUGCUUAGAGUUUUGUAAUUAGUUGUAGAUUGGUAGAGGUUUUGAUCCUUGAUAGUCUGCAAACCUUGUGUGUAUUAGACAGCACUCUGGGAGCACAAGAGGUCAUACCGUGUCUUAUUGUUUUAUGGUAGGAUUAACGUAGCUACAUCUGUUCUAGUC